UUUCCUAGCAUCCUUUGCGGUUGGUCGUUACAUCGUGUGUUGUGGCAGUGCUCUUUGUGAGGCUGGAGGCUGCUUCGAGUCAAUCUGUUCUCAUCGUUUUAACUAUGAAGCGUGUGCCUGUGGCUGUUCAGCGUGCCGGUAUCAAGAGACCACGUGUGCGCCGGUCAGCAUCGCGGCCACGUGAUGCACCAACUGAACCUGCCGGCGUGAGCUGAUGAACGCUCCACUGUGGAGCACCAGAUGAACCUGCCGGCGUAAGCUGAAUGCCCUGGUUUGGAGCACUGUCCAUGGCGGCGGCAGCUGAAUGCUCUGCUGUGGAGGGGCAACAAUCUGCACUCCUGCAUGCAGGAGGUGAGUAUUGCAAGCACUUGCAGUCAUUGAUUCCUCGUGAUGAACUUAUAGUCUCGUUCGUAUGAAAAUACUGAUUCAAUUAAAUUUCCUGAUCCUUUGCUGACUUGGUGAGAUAUUGGUUUUGUGUGCCGUUUCAGUAAUUGCACUUAGUUUUUCAGGACGAGGAAGUAGAACCAAAGACUGUACAUGAGUCCUGGUGGAUGUGACAUCAGUUCUAUCUCCAAGGUUUGUUUGUGCACCAGCUUGGUUAACUUGCUUGUUGUUGUGAUGAUUAAGUGUUCAUACUUUUCAUGGUGAAGUACAUUGCCCUCUCUGAUGCACAAGUUUUCUUGUGGGUUUGAAAAGUUCACUGCUAUUGUUAAGCAUUAUCCUUUAUUCCAGGUUUCCUUGAACUGUCCGUCCAGUCUAAUGCAAUUGGUCAGAAGGUUGGUAUGUUCUCCCUCAAGCCUUGUUAUGUAGUUUGGUGUUAGGAUAACGUCAAACUAUUCCAGUUUCUCAAGUUUGUUUGUGUACCAGCUCGGUUAUCUUGCUUGUUGUGAUGAUUAAGUGUUCAUACUUUUCAUGGUGAAGUACAUUGCCCUCUCUGAUAACACAAGUUCUCUCAUGGGUUUGAAAAGUCCACUGCUAUCGUUAAACAUUAUCCUUUAUUCCAGGUUUCCUCGAACUGCCCAUCCAGUCUAAUGCAAUUGGUCAGAAGGUUGGUAUGUUCUCCCUCAAGCCUCGUUACGUAGUUUGGCGUUUGUCAGGAUAACGUCAAACUAUUCCAGUCUGUUUUUAUUCCGAAUUGCUCCACCCAAAUGGGCUGGACCCGAGCCAUUUUGACCUAUCGUAGAAGGCUAAUGGUGUAUUUGGAAUAACAGAUGGGAACAGUUUCACGUUAUUAUGGCCUUCAUCUAAUGAAUUUGGCAACCCAAUUCUGUACUGCUGGUGCUUAUUUUAGCAGGUUUUCUACAUUACCUUAGUAAAUGUAUUGUGAUGAAUCAAAUAUCGCCCCAGUCCUACUUUUCGUGCGGAUUGAUGUUUCUGAUAUUUUGCUGUGUUGGUUUUAUCUGAUGAGCAACUACUGCUGGUGCUAAUUGCUUCUUCAUUCUUCUAGGCUUUCUGCACUGCUUCGGCUGCCUUAGUGGGUGAGUGGAUCUUUGUUUUAAUUUGCUUUUUGUGCUGAUGAAUUCAAUAUCGCCCCAGUCCUAUUUUUUGUGCGGAUUGAUGUUUCUGAUAGUUUGCAGUGUUGGUUUUAUCUGAUAAGCAACUGUACUGCUGGUGCUAAUUGCUUUUUCAUUCUUCUAGGCUUUCUGCCUACUCUAGUGGGUGAGCGGACCUUUUUGAUUUGACUUUCGUUCUGGUUAAUUGUAUAUCGCCCCAGCCCUACUUCUCGUGCGGAUGAAUGUUUGACAUUGUGCAUGGCGAGGGUUUUAAAUAAAACAGCUGCACUGCUGGUGCUAUAAAUGCAUUUUCUAGGCUGCAGGGCCUCGGCUGCUCUAGAGUGAGUGGAACUGUCCUAAUUUCCUUUUCCCUCUUCUGUAUGCAGCCUAGUGUAAGUGCAUUGGUUUUUGGUUACUUUUAUACCAGUGUUCCAGGCAUUGUAUAGUGUGGUCGCCUGUAUCUAUUCGUACUGAAAAGUGGGGCUGUGGUACCACCAGAUCUAAAUAAGUUGCACGUAAUUUUAGCUUAUGAUUUUCAGUUUAAAACAAUUUCUGUUGGGUCGCCACUGUCCUAUGUAACUGACUGUCUUGGUUUUGUACUUUCUUUAAGGUUGCUUGGUACUUCCCAUGAAGAUGGCAAAAAUGGUUUUGGUCAUUGCUCCUACAAGUACCGUGGAUGCCAGCCACUGCAUCUUCACAAAAUGGCUUUUGAUGAAAUAAAAUGUUUUCGUUCA